rnacentral:rRNA from 1 species
CCUACGGGAGGCAGCAGUGGGGAAUUUUGGACAAUGGGCGAAAGCCUGAUCCAGCAAUGCCGCGUGAGUGAAGAAGGCCUUCGGGUUGUAAAGCUCUUUUGUCAGGGAAGAAACGGUGAGAGCUAAUAUCUCUUGCUAAUGACGGUACCUGAAGAAUAAGCACCGGCUAACUACGUGCCAGCAGCCGCGGUAAUACGUAGGGUGCAAGCGUUAAUCGGAAUUACUGGGCGUAAAGCGUGCGCAGGCGGUUUUGUAAGUCUGAUGUGAAAUCCCCGGGCUCAACCUGGGAAUUGCAUUGGAGACUGCAAGGCUAGAAUCUGGCAGAGGGGGGUAGAAUUCCACGUGUAGCAGUGAAAUGCGUAGAUAUGUGGAGGAACACCGAUGGCGAAGGCAGCCCCCUGGGUCAAGAUUGACGCUCAUGCACGAAAGCGUGGGGAGCAAACAGGAUUAGAUACCCUGGUAGUCCACGCCCUAAACGAUGUCUACUAGUUGUCGGGUCUUAAUUGACUUGGUAACGCAGCUAACGCGUGAAGUAGACCGCCUGGGGAGUACGGUCGCGAAGAUUAAAACUCAAAGGAAUUGACGGCUGAGACGNGCGAGGACGACGACGAGGGAGGAGG